UGUGCACAAUGUAUGUACAUUUACAUUAGCUCAACUCUGUGUAUUUGCUAUCAACUUUGUUGGUUAUCUACCUGACAAAUAACUUUCGCGAGGUAGAAUCCAACCAAUAAGCUUAUCUACGUAAGUAUAUACGCGGGUAACUUAUCAAAUUCACGUUCGAACGGUUCGAUGUCGAAUUUGUACGCACGAUGUUAAUGUCGCCCUUCAAAACGCAUAGAGCGUCGAAAAAUUGGCUCGAGGUAACUUACAAUUUAAAAAUCUGUUUAUUAAACGCAACUUUACUUUAAAUUAGGGGAAAAAUUAAAAUUUUUAUUACAUACAUAUUACAUACGCAUCUGAAGGGGUGAAGCUCGAUGAUGUAUUAUCGUCACCAUCUGUCAUUAAUUCGUUUUCCAACUCAAUUUCUUCUCGCAGUUUGAUAUAGUUAAUUCUGGCAUAACUAUUGAAGAGAAUAUUAUUAGAAAUAUUACUGAGGGGAGAAGGCUAAAUAUUACUACGUAAGUAGUUAAUAUUUCCCUAUACCUGGCUAGUCUAUGGGUGUCGGAGAGCUCAGAAAUCAUGCAGAAAUACUAUAUGCAUUUAUGAUCCGAUGUAAUAAUAAUAACACCAAAACGAUACAACGUGUCUAAUUGAUUUAUUAUUAUAAUUCGAUCAUGUCAGGUGAAUCAAGAUAUAAAAGAAUUUACAUAAUUUUACAUCAUUAAUAUGGACACCGGUCCAUAUUAUGCGUCUCGCGCUAAUGAAUUAAGAUAUAAUACGCUAAAGUAUUAUUGUAAUCGAAGGUGAUGAAUUAUGCAGGGAUGACAAUAAACCCUAAUUUUGCAUACUUACGAAGAAAGAGAUUACUUCUCAAUACUCGUAAGUAUGGGAAAAAUUACCUUAUUAAAUAAAUGAUGAGGUUACUCACCAAGGUCCACAUAAUGUCCGCUUCUACUGUCUCUUUCAAGGUGGCUCACUCAUACUAGGCCAGGCGACAGCAAUGUAUUACACGAGGUACCUAUUCUACUAGCAGUAGGAGUGAUGCCCGGGAAGAUCUACUCCAUACCCAAUAAUAUCGCGAUCGGAUAGUUAACUUAUUCGAAUCACGACGUAAUUUCAUUUUAACCACUAUAUGUAGUGGGCAAUGCCUGGAUAAAUAGGGGAUAGGUACCCUUACUGGAUACCUUACCUGCCUGUCACAUCUACUAAGUUUCAUAUCUGAGGAAAUGCGCGUUACGACGAAGCACCGGCGAGCUCGAGAUACCUAUGCUAAGUAAUUUUGGUGCGUUCGCGAUGCAUUAUAUAUGCAUCGCGCUCGAUGCGUUGCUCGAUGCAUUGCCUACGUCACGACCUUUGCGGAGUUAACACGUUCCCACCACUUACGUUCACGCUACCUAUAGUUAUGCUUCGAAUAACUACUUACGUAGUUGGGCCAUAUCUCACCAUAUCAUAUGCCCCCCGUGGGGUUAACUCAAUUGAGUAACAAUCGAGGAAAGUCACGGUUAUGACUUAAAAAAGCUAUGGGAGAUAGGCCUCAACUCCCCCCUUUCCCCUCCUGUCCAGAAGCUAGACUGAUGAGGCUAUAGCUCACCCCUGCCCCCCGUUACUUGCUGCGAUUGCAGACUAUUUUGAGUUGACAAGAGAGGUCGAAAGAUGGGUGGGGGCAGGCAUUGUGGAAACAAGGGUCACCAUAUGGUUCCUGCACCCCUUCGAUUACCUGAUGUCAGUGAGCAAAUUCGAAAAUUUAGAACACAAACAAGCAAUCGAUACAAGGGAUACAUUGGAGAGGUCAGUGACCCUAAACAUAUCCACUAGAGAGAGUAGUAGAGGUGGUGUGUUAACGUGUUGUUGUGGGGUGUAUUUAGAAUUUAAAGUUCAAAAAAAAAUUUUGUUGAAGACACCUAAAGUGUAGAAUACUGUGACAGAAUCUAACUAUUUGUAUUGUUUUUUACAACUUCGAAAUGGGGUCAGUCAAAGAGGAGCUUACUUAGCACGGUAUCUCCUAUUUUAAGUACAUGAGUACAGCAGGUAGGUGCAUCGGUAAGUACAUAUGAAACUGAUGUGUAGGUCAUUUUUUGAAAAUUGUAAUGAAUUUUUUGUAUGUUUUUUCUUUUUUGUUGCAGGUUUUUUGGUUUUUCAGAAAUCCGGGAUCUUUUAUUGUUAGACUAUGCGUUUCAAUUUUAGUAUAAUUUUUUGUAGAAGGUUUCCUGCAACCUUAUUAAUUCAUGUUUCUUUUAUGUGUGUUUCAGAUUCGAAGAAUUCCAGAAAUUGUUGAAAAUGGUGAAAAUCGAAAAAGAAAAUGAUACCAAGGGUUAGUGCUCAUCGAUAUCAUAAAAGGUAAGAGAAUGGAAAAUUUUUCAUUAUCCCUACUUUGAUGCUAAAAUUGUAGCUGUCUGUAUUUUAUACUAUUUUCUCCUAAUUGUAUUUUGGUUUAUAAACAGCAGACUGACCAAAGGUUGUUGACCUAUUCACAAAGUGGCCUGCACGAAGGAGACAACAUCAACGGACAGUUGCACCAGUGUGCCUCCUCACCAUUAUUGAAAGGUAAUUAGAUAGUUUCGUACUGAGAUAAUUAAUAUUACUAAAUACAACUAAAUAAAUAAGUAGGUACUUUAGAGUAGAAUUAGUAUAGAGAGAGGAAAAGAAAAGAAAGAUAGAGAUAAAAAUAAUAUGUAAGAUUUAGAUUGAUUUGAAGGAGAGAGGUUGUUAACGGUUCUCAAAAAAAAGAAAAAAAAAUAUUGAGAUAAAUAGUUCAAUUAUUGAGAAAGAGAGAAAGAAAGAUAGAGAAAGAAUAAUAAUCAUUCGAAAAAGAGAAAAGAAGUGAAAAUAAAGAAGGGUCAAGAGACAUUAUAUGAGAGAAAGAUGAAGAAAGCGAGAAGUAUUUAUGCUAGGUUUACAUUGUUGCCUAUCUUAUAUUUAUAAGGUACAAUUGACACGUCAGUUUUUCAUAUAGAGUAGUUUUGCAGCUUAUAGUUUAAUAUUAGUAUUUAUAUUUUAAAAUAGAUAGGAAUAUGUUGAUCGUCCGCAUAUAAUUGAUUCAAAUGCUUUAUUGCUUUUAUGUUUCACGCUGGAGGAAAUACAUGGUUCAUUGUGUCAAUUUUCAUCGGAGGAGGUAGAUGGAUCAUUGUGCUACGUCUCACUGGAGUCAGUUCAGUCGCAUGUAGCAUUGCAGUCAAUUGGUCAAAAUGUCAUGGCGCUAUGGGAGUGAAAACAUAAGGUGUUCGAUUUUUGGGGAAGAAAAAUGCUUGUCGAAGAUUUAUGGUCAUCCAUCAAACAGUGGUCAAGUUUUCAGUGAUGAUAUUGGCGACAUAGAUCGCAACAUUUUCGACGUGGGAUCAACCGGUUUUUUCGGUGUCCAGAAAUUAUGGUUACAAUCGAUAAGGAGGAGAAAAAGAAAUUCGGCUGAUAUAAAGAGCGGUCAUCAUUCUAGAAUUUUGAGUUCGUGGGAUAGGUUUGGAAUGAUUGGUACGAAUGUAUUCGUGGUUGCCGAAAAACAGUGAUAGGUACGAUGUUGAAAGUCGACUCGCGAAAGGAAUGACCUAAAUCAAUCGUACUUUCAAGAUUUAUUUGAGGCUACGGGAGCUUCCCAUUAUCCUAGAAUUUUGGGAAAGUGAAAUGGAAUUGACGACUAGGAAUGUGUUUUGUAACCAUCAUCGGUGGAAAUUCUUGAAUAACAAACAAGUUUUCAGAAUUUGAAAUUUCGACGAUAUUUUGGGAAGCUGUGUUGAUUUGAAAUUCCUUAUCUUAUGGUCAUUAACGUACUGCAAAUUUUGGCGAAAACGUGUGAUGUUGAACCGGAUCUAGAUCCUAAUUUGUAGAUUCAUUCAUCGUGUACAAGGAAUAAAAUACUUCAGCGAUGUAUUUUAUCGUUCCUGAAUGCUACUUCUAAUACAGAUUUUUUGAAAAAAUAUAUGAUCGUUUUGAGUGCACAAAAGGAGCGACGUGGGACCGAAGAAUUUAGCAACCGGAUUCAUGCUUCAAUAUUGGGUGAGAGUUGAUUAAUUUAUUUAUUUAGACGCUGUUAAUUUGGAUUAUGAUCGAGAAGAAUUUUUUGAAGAAAUGUGGACACGGAUAAUGUGUAUUCGAAUCGAAGAAAAUGAAGAUUUCAAAUUUCACGACGUGAUACAGCUUGGGAUAAUGGUGACGGGUAACAAACGAAGGCUACAUGUGUUUUUGAAGUAUCCAGCGUUUAUUAUCCGUGGCUGUUAUUUCCUCACACAUUCGCCAAAUAUGGGACUUGAAUUGAGAAAUGAUGGUAACGGGUAAUGAGCGAUGGGUACGUAUGGUUGUAAGUAUCCAACGCUCCUUAUCCGUAGCUAUUGUUGUUUAAAACUUCGCCAAAAUAUGGGUCUUACUUU